UACGGAGGGUGCGAGCGUUGUCCGGAAUCACUGGGCGUAAAGGGCGCGUAGGUGGCGCAGGAGGUCAACGGUGAAAGUUCGGGGCUCAACCCUGAAUCGGCCGUCGAUACUCCUGGGCUCGAGCACUGUAGAGGCAGAUGGGAAUUCCGGGUGUAGCGGUGGAAUGCGUAGAGAUCCGGAAGAACACCGGUGGCGAAGGCGGUCUGCUGGGCAGUUGCUGACACUGAGGCGCGACAGCGUGGGGAGCAAACAGGG
rnacentral:rRNA from 1 species